UACAGAGGUCUCAAGCGUUGUUCGGAUUCAUUGGGCGUAAAGGGUGCGUAGGUGGCGCCGUAAGUCGGGUGUGAAAUUUUGAGGCUUAACCUCGAAACUGCAUUCGAUACUGCGGUGCUUGAGGACUGGAGAGGAGACUGGGAUUCAUGGUGUAGCAGUGAAAUGCGUAGAGAUCAUGAGGAAGACCAGUGGCGAAGGCGGGUCUCUGGACAGUUCCUGACACUGAGGCACGAAGGCCAGGGGAGCAAACGGG
rnacentral:rRNA from 1 species